UCCCGGUUGGCCCGGGCAGUCUCGUAUGAAAAAUUCAACAUACGAUAAGGGUUGCGCUCGUUGCGGGACUUAACCCAACAUCUCACGACACGAGCUGACGACGGCCAUGCAGCACCUGUCACCAGGUUCCCGAAGGCACCCCCGCAUUUCUGCGGGGUUCCUGGGAUGUCAAACCUCGGUAAGGUUCUUCGUGUAGCGUCGAAUUAAACCACAUGAUCCUCUGCUUGUGCGGGUCCCCGUCAAUUCCUUUGAGUUUUAAGCUUGCGCUCGUACUCCCCAGGCGGCAUGCUUAUCGCGUUAGCUUCUCAGCCCAAGGGGUCGAUACCUCAGACUAAUAGCAUGCAUCGUUUACGGCGUGGACUAC
rnacentral:misc_RNA from 1 species